rnacentral:rRNA from 1 species
GAUGAACGCUGGCGGCGUGCCUAAUACAUGCAAGUCGAGCGAACAGACGAGGAGCUUGCUCCUCUGACGUUAGCGGCGGACGGGUGAGUAACACGUGGAUAACCUACCUAUAAGACUGGGAUAACUUCGGGAAACCGGAGCUAAUACCGGAUAAUAUAUUGAACCGCAUAGUUCAAUAGUGAAAGACGGUUUUGCUGUCACUUAUAGAUGGAUCCGCGCCGCAUUAGCUAGUUGGUAAGGUAACGGCUUACCAAGGCAACGAUGCGUAGCCGACCUGAGAGGGUGAUCGGCCACACUGGAACUGAGACACGGUCCAGACUCCUACGGGAGGCAGCAGUAGGGAAUCUUCCGCAAUGGGCGAAAGCCUGACGGAGCAACGCCGCGUGAGUGAUGAAGGUCUUCGGAUCGUAAAACUCUGUUAUUAGGGAAGAACAAAUGUGUAAGUUACUAUGCACGUCUUGACGGUACCUAAUCAGAAAGCCACGGCUAACUACGUG